rnacentral:rRNA from 1 species
AUAUCAUAAGCGGAGGAAAAGAAACCAACAGGGAUUGCCCUAGUAACGGCGAGCGAAGCGGCAACAGCUCAAAUUUGAAAUCUGGCUACUUUGUAGUCCGAGUUGUAAUUUGUAGAGGAUGCUUUUGGUGAGGUGCCUUCCGAGUUCCCUGGAACGGGACGCCAGAGAGGGUGAGAGCCCCGUACGGUUGGAUACCAAACCUUUGUAUAGCUCCUUCAACGAGUCGAGUAGUUUGGGAAUGCUGCUCUAAAUGGGAGGUAUAUCUCUUCUAAAGCUAAAUAUAGGCUAGAGACCGAUAGCGCACAAGUAGAGUGAUCGAAAGAUGAAAAGCACUUUGAAAAGAGAGUUAAACAGCACGUGAAAUUGUUGAAAGGGAAGCGCCUAUGACCAGACUUGUUUCUUUCAGUUUUGUUAGUUCUCGGACUGAUUUACUCUGUUAGUACAGGCCAGCAUCAGUUUGUUGUCGGGGAGAAAGGCUUAGGGAAUGUGGCUCCUUCGGGAGUGUUAUAGCCCUUUGCAUAAUACCCUUCGGCAGACUGAGGACCGCGCUUCGGCAAGGAUGCUGGCGUAAUGGUCAUCAGCGACCCGUCUUGAAACACGGACCAAGGAGUCAACCUUAUGUGCGAGUGUUUGGGUGUAAAACCCCAGCGCGUAAUGAACGUGAACGUAGGUGAGAGCUUCGGCGCAUCAUCGACCGAUUCUGAUGUUCUCGGAUGGAUUUGAGUAAGAGCACACAGGGUUGGACCCGAAAGAAGGUGAACUAUGCUUGUAUAGGGUGAAGCCAGAGGAAACUCUGGUGGAGGCUCGCAGCGGUUCUGACGUGCAAAUCGAUCGUCAAAUAUGAGCAUGGGGGCGAAAGACUAAUCGAACCUUCUAGUAGCUGGUU